AGCGAACGCUGGCGGCGUGCUUAACACAUGCAAGUCGAGUGCGUAGUCUCUUGUAGCAAUACAGGGGAUGGGCGCACGGCGCACGGGUGAGUAACACGUGGGUAACCUGCCCUUCGGUGGGGAAUAACCCGCGAAAGCGGGGCUAAUUCCGCAUAACAUUCCGGGGACACAUGUUCUCGGACUCAAAGGAGUGAUUCGCCGGAGGAGGGGCCCGCGCCCGAUUAGCUUGUUGGUAGGGAACGGCCUACCAAGGCGACGAUCGGUAGCCGGUCUGAGAGGGCGACCGGCCACACUGGGACUGAGACACGGCCCAGACNCCUACGGGAGGCAGCAGUGGGGAAUCUUGCGCAAUGGGCGAAAGCCUGACGCAGCGACGCCGCGUGAGGGAUGACGGCCU
rnacentral:rRNA from 1 species